GAACCUUUCGUACUGAACGGGGAACACCCGGCGAUACAGCUUCUUUGCUGAGGGACAAUGGGGAGACCCUGGCAGCUGUUCCCACGCCUGCUGCUACUGCUGGUGAACAUUCCCUGGGGGAGCUGCCAGGCCGAGGUGCACCAGAACCUGUCUGAGGUCACUCGGGAAGGGCAGAACGGCAGCAUCUCUUGCCACUACACGAUGAGUAAUUUCAGGAGUGUGCAGUGGUUCAGGCAGCUGCCCGGAGGCCAGCCUGUCUCCCUGCUGAUUCUGGUGUCCGAUGAGAAACAAACCAAGGAGCCCAACCUCACCGCGGAGCUCGACAAGGGGAAGCGGCUGAGUUCCCUGCACAUCAGAGAAUCACAGCUGGGAGACGCAGCCACCUACUUCUGCGCCGUGGCGACACAGUGACACAGGAGCACUGGCAGCCUGUGCAAAAACUCCCCAGCUAGAGGGUAACUGUCAGGCUGGCUGGCGGCACAACACCACCACCUACUUCUUACACAGUGCAUCUCUGAGCGGGCUUCGCCUUCCAUUACAGGGCUCUGGAACACAAGGCUGAGACAGCGGCAGAGUGUUUGUGCAUAGCUGGCACUGCCCGUUCCCAUGAAGCCCAGCUCUGGGGAUCACCCCUUUGUCCAGGGGGAGGCAAGUUAGACUAUUAAACCCAGCGAAAAGGGACCUAUUUAAC